rnacentral:lncRNA from 1 species
CCUCACCCACGCCGCACCCGCGUCCCCAUCCCCAGAUCUGUUUGGGCAAAGUUGCUUAUGGUUCUGUCUCCCAGAGAAAGGAGCGUCCCAAAGCCGGGAGGGGCACCUGAGGUGACCCGAGACACCCUGAGCAGAGCGGGUGUGUCCCUCCAGCCACUGGAGACGUCCCCUUUGUUUCCCUGCACCUGGGGGCUUGAAAUGUCGAGGCCACAGUGCUUCGUGUGACCCUGGAGUCGUGCAGACCCCUUCCACCCCCGCCGUGUCCCCCCAACUAGGGCACAGGGAAGCAUCCAGAAAGAAGGGGACCCACAUGUCCUGGAACCCAGACACCUUCCUCCCAGCCCUUAUGGUCACAAGCAGUUAAAUUAGCGCACAUUUAUUGCGGGAAUUUGAAUCUGUCCCUGGCUACGGUCUUUGCCUGUGGGGCCUGGCCUGGGUCUUUCCCAGGACACUGCCAGUCCUCACGUGUCUCAUGUCGCAGGGAACCUGGACAGCAAUGGCUGUGAUCAUUUCACUUCUCCAGCCUGGAAAUCUCCUUUGCACCUAGGCACUCAGCUCCCAGGAGCAGAGGAGGGGGCGGAGGGAUGGAUGAAGGAGUGGUGUAGGGCACACAGAGGUGCAGUUUUCCGUCUGGGGAGCAGGGAAGGGUGUCCCAGAGGAGGUGACAUUCAGACGGGGUCCCUGAGGCUGAGUUGUUUCAGGAGGGAUUGCAUUUGCCUCCUCAGCAAUUGCUCUUGUUCUUGGUAGUACCCUAGUUUUUACUUUAUACUCACUUCUCCCUCUUAGCCACAUACGGGGGUGGGGGGGAGCUGAUUCCAGAGAGAGGGAGAGAGAGAGUGAGCGAGAAGGAGGGCAUGUGGAUGUGGUUUAGGGCUUAGGCUGAAAUGAAUCAGUGUGUUGCCAUCCCUAGGCCAGAGUUUCAGAAGUGCAGUAUGACAAAGAAAAUAAUUUUCUUGGUCCUCUAAAAGAGUCCCUGAAGCAAAGGAAUUCACUCUGUCUCUUCCUUCCUACCUUCUCCUUGGCUCCCCCAGGCUGGAGCAAGGGAUCUCACAGGCUUGAAUGUUGACUCAGGAUGGAGUGGACAAGGGGAUCGGGCCUGGAUUCAGGCAGACACUGGAUGAGGUGUGCAGGGGCCGAGGCCACAAGGACCUUGUGGAGCCCCAACUUCAGCCAUGCUGUAAGCCGAUCCUGUGAGCACUUUCCAGUUCCAGAUCAGUCCAAGCCACCUUGAGUCAGGAAGCUUGAGCCCUGGAGCAUGAUGAUGGGUAACAGCCAUCUGGUGGGCUGCCACCCACUUCUCUGCCUUGCUGGAGGUCACGCUGUCCCCAGUGCUGCCCAAACCCCACAGGCAUCGGAAAUGACCCAGAGCUUCGUGAAGGCUGCAGAUCCCCCAGCUCAUACUUGGGCACCUCCUGUGCCCCAUGCUCUGCAAGAAGCCUUUGAGGGAGGAGCUAGGGACAGAGCCCAGCAGCAUUUCCAUCACCCCACAAAGAAAUCCUGGAACCAUGAAAGCCACUCCCCAUUCCUUCAUCCUAGCCCCUGGCAGCCACCAGUCUGCUUUCUGUCUCCGUGGAUCUGCCUAUUCUGGACAUUUCAUGGCCAUGGAAUCAUCCCUUACAAGGCCUUUUGAAUCUGUCUGCUCAACAUGAUGUCUCGGCAUCAGCAUUUCAUUCUUUUUUAUUACCAAGUAACAUUCCAUUGUGUGGAUAUGCCUUGUUUUGUUUACCCAUUCCUCAGGUGAUGUUUAUUUGGAGCUUUCCACUUUGGGCUCUUAUGAAUAACCCUGCUAUGAACAUUUGCGUAAGAGUUUUUGUGUGAACAUCUGCUUCCAAUUCUCGUGGGUACGUACAGUAAUGUUUGGCAUGACAACCGAUUGUGUAUAGGAUGGUGAUCCUGUAUACCCCGCACCAUCUAGUUUGUGUAAGUGGCACUGUGACAUUUAUACAAUGAUGAAGUCACCCAGCAACACACUUCUCAGGACCUGUCCUGGUCUCUGAUAUGUGACUGCCUAGGAGUGACACUCCCGAGUCCUAUAAUAAUUUUGUUUGAUGGCUUGAGGAGCUCCUCCAGUUUCCACAGCUGCACCAUUUUACAUUCCCACUAGUAAUAUGUGGCUGCAGUGUGUAGUGUUUUACUUUAUUUUAGAAAUCCCUUUCACACCCGUGACCUCAUUUAAUCCCAGUAGCCCUGCAAGGAAUUAUAUUCAUUUUUUUAGAUAAAGAGAUUGUAUGGGUGAGGAUUCUUUCAGUUGCAAGUGACAGAAACUCAAUGCCAAACGCUGUAGAAGAGCAGAAAUAGAAAUCUCAGAUAACUGGGAAGUACCAAGGUGUCCGACUGCAGACCAAGUGUCUCAAAUGAAUGUUACUGCUUUCUUUCUGUCUUCUCUUAGUUUUGCUUCAUUCUCUUCUCCUUUUCUACAGCAGGCGAGGUUUCUCUGCCUGUCUAGAGAGAUGGCAGGAACCAGCCACAAGCUUAUACUUUACGGAUUCUAAAAGGAGAGAAGUGGCUUCCCUCUUAGAUCCAGCAGAGAAGUCCAGAGCUUUGGUUCGUGUCUCCCCUGCACAAAUCACAGUGUCUGGAGGACUUGGUAGGAUAAUUGGCCCAGCCUGGGACGCACCCCACCCUGAGGGGUUGGGAGGAAAAGGGUAGCAAGAUAGACAGUUUAAGCAAGGCGGCCAGACAUUAUGGGAGAGGAGCUCCCUAAAGGAACUAGGAAAGGGGGCAGCAAAGUACUCUGGAGAGACAAACCCAUAAUUGGUAAGUCUACUCCAGAGGUCGAAGCUCAAGCAGUAAAUUUGCUCAAGAUGCCCCAGCACCUAUUUGGUGGAACUGCAAUGAGGACCAGGAGUCUGCAUGCAGGCCGCAUAUCCCAGGCGAGGUUGCUGGGUUUCAGUGGGAGAAAUGGUUUGGAUUGGUGCUCCCAGCACCUCUGCCUCACUUUCUCCAACUCUCUUCUCUCUUCUCCCUUCAGGUGUCUCUCUUUCCUACUCCCUGGAUCUUUCUCUUGGCCCUCUCUUCUGUGUUCUGGGAUCCUCCAAAUGCAGCCACUUUCCACAUCAACAUGGGGGCCCCACCUGAGGCCCUGCCUGGCUUCCAGGCUCUUUUUGGAACCACAGCCCCCCCCCCCCCCGCCCAGGUCUGACUCCCUCCCCGUACCAUCCCUUAGUCUGUGCUCAGGAAACACAAAUUCUUUUCUAUUUUUUUAAACAUAAACUUAAGCAAACUUAUAGUUACUGGGAAGCCACAUCUUAUGCCAAAAAAAUGAUACAAUAAAUUCCAAAGCAAAUAAAUAAAGGUAGAGAAGAAAGCCACCAGAUUGCAUUUGUUAUCUGCAGUAUGAAUGACACGCAUGUUGUUCCAAGCCAAGAAUGCAUGAGAUGGAAGGUGAGUGUGCUGGUCACGCACAGAUGGGCUUAGAGGACUUCCCUUGUUUUCUGUCUGUCACACUAACAAAAUGAAUGUGUUUAACCCUAGAGAAUCACGUUUAUCCCAGUAGCUAGCAUGCAUUACCCCGGCUACUCUCUACUUCAAAGUCCAGUCUGGUGAAGCCGGGAAGGUAACCCUGUUCUUCUGGACCCUCUGCUGAGCCCAGUCUUAUUCCCAUUGCUGAGGAUGAGAGACUGAUAUUUCUCAUGCAACCAAGCCCUGCACACAACCUCCACUGAACCCAGGAUGUUACUCUGUGAUCUCCAUUUCUCAAGCCACAAGUAUGUCCAGCAUUCGCAGUAAAGAUAUCAAGGAAGGCAGCCUCCCCACACACAGGCACGCAGGAAGGAGAGGAAAACAGCCCUUGGAAGGAAAAGUGUGUCAAAGGGUUAAAUGCCAAGGAGGCAAGUCCUAGGAUUUUGCAGGAGUGAAGGAGUGAUAAAGAGGCCCCUGAACAGAGCAGGAACUGUAAGAGGGAGGCAGCAGAGAGAGCAAAAACAAUCUGCAGGUCCUGCCUCUCCAUCCAGCUGCGAGCUGCUCCUAGCCUUCUGCAUGACGUCUUCAGCAGGAAGGGUGUGCAGGGAUUUCUGAACAUCCCGAGUUGCAUAACUGAUCCUAGAAGUAGAAGAGAAAUGAGAGCACAGCCUAAGACAAACCAUAAAAAACGCACAUGACAGCAUGACCUGUAAUGAAACCACUAUCUAAUCGUUGUCUCCAGCCAGAUUUGCAGGUCAACCUCCCUAAACCAGUGGCCAGAAAAAGGACCGCACCUCCCUCUACCUUCCCUUCUGCCACAGGGUGGAGAUGCUGGCCUUGUCCCUUUCAUCAAAUGCCUGCCAGCCUGGGGCAGCCACCAGCGAGCGCCUGCUUGGGGACAGCUCUGCGGUCCGCAAUGUUUCUGCAGAGGGCACUUCCGGCUCUCCCCAGGAGGUCAGCCCAGCCUGCCCCAGCUGCUGCUGCUUAGCCUCAAGCACGGACUGGAAAUAAACAGCUCCCAGGCAAUCUGCAGCUGGGGCAGAGGCUGAGGGUGGUGUUGCAGGGAGGUAUGGGGAAUGGGAAUGUUUUAGUUGAUGUUUGGAUAAGGUGCUUCUGUGACCAUUUUUUUCUCUGCUGAGUGUUAGUGAGAAAAAGAUGGGCACAAGUGUUGGACCUGAGGUUUCCUGAGAACUUCCGCCCAGGGAGACCAAAACUCAGGCACGAUGAGCAGGAUAAUUGCAAGAGACACAGAGAUAACUUGGUCCUUGGUCGUUGUGAAUGGCUGAGGUGCCUGAGGUUGCUCAUGAGGCUGUAGGUAGGAAGUAGAGUGGUUUAAAGUGGGCAUUGGGGUUCUGGCUUAGAACCCCAGCCUCACCCCUCCCCAGCUGGAUGAUUUGCUAUUUAUAAUCAUUUCACCACCACCUAUAAAAUGAAAACAAAACAGCAGGCCCUUAUGGAACACUGUCAGUCUAAGCCAGUGCCAAACACAGUACUAACUAAGGUCUUAGCAUAUGUUAGAACAGUCACUGAGUUGUUGAAGAAAUUGGUGCUAUUAUUAUUGCCAUUUUACAGACAAAACUGAGGCACAUAAGAGAGCAUUGCUGCUGGAGGACUCACUGCUGGUACAUGGUGGGGCCUGGGAUGACCUCAGGCAGUCUGCCCGUAGUGCCCUUGACCACCCUGUCCCUGCGGUUGCUGUGAACAACAGAUGAAAUGCAGCUUAUAAAGGACUUGGCGCCGUGCCUGCCCCAUGGCCAGCUCUCAAUAAAUGUUAGCUUUUAUUAUUAAGAACACACGAAGCAGCACAAAACAGACCAGGCAAGCUACUCACAUAGUUUGAGAUCCUUAACAAUGCCUGGUGUUUGUUUGGCUCUGUGUAGAAUUCAAAGCGCUCUACCAGUGAGGCCUCCUAUAACCUCGCUGCUGCCCCUGAGGGCAGAGGGGCAGUGUGGAAUGCACACAAGAAGGGCAGUUUCUGCAUAAGGUCCUACGCUGGCUCUCUGGUCAUCUAUUCCCAGGGAGUGUGCAGGGACACCUGGGAGCCUGAAUGGCAUGGUGUGUGAGCUGAGAAGAUGCUGAAGAGCCACCAGUAUAUGACCUUUUACCAUGUUAACUCAGAUUCUAUUUACAUAAACAUUUUAUACUCGUCUCUAUAAACUGUGAUACAACAGUUUCUUGAUUCUUUAUUCUUUUUACCUUUUUGUAAUGGAAGUCUAAAGGGAUUACAACAAACGCAGAUUACAAACUCAUAAAAUCACCUUAAAAAGUAAAAAUAGUGGACCAAGUGUUAAACAAUAGAACCUACUGUUUGAACAGCAGUUUCCAGUUUAUGAAUAAGUAUGAUCUCAUUUCAACCUCAUGACAAUUCAUUACUGGACAUAACUGUGCCGUAAAACUCGAGUUUAGGGGAGCUACUCUAAUAGGGAAUAGUAUGGCUACAACCCAGUCUGCCCUUAAUGAAUUUUGCCUGAGUUUUCUUUUUGGCUACCAAAAGAGUUUGUGUUAGUGUCUCCUAUUGUGACUCAGUAAAAGACUGAAUAUAGAAUGAGUGGUUUCGCUCUUUCUUUUUUCUAUUUCUCUCCUUCCCUCCCCUUCCUUCUCCUUCCCUUCUCCUUCCCUUCCCCAUAUUUGGACUUUUCUGGACUCUGUCCUAUACACCUGUGAUGGUUAAUUUUAGGUGUCAGCUUGUCUGAAGAAAGGGACACCCAGACAGUUGGUAAAGUUUUAUUUCUGGGAGGAAUGGUUGGUUUCAAAUUUCAAGUCUCAUACUUAACAUUUCUGUGACUUUGGCCAAGUUACUGACACCUUGGUGUUUCAGAAUUCUCACCUACCAAGAGAGUAGCUACCUCUUGCGAGUAUUGGGAAGGGUAAAUGAGCAAACACACAUAAAGUGUUCGGAAAGGUACUGGGCACACACUAACUCAGUGCUGUUUGCUUAUAUGAAAUAAAAACAGAAAUUAUCUUCCACAAAGAUUGUAGAAUUAUAGCUGUGCUUAUAGUUCUGUGUAUUUUUGCUUUGUAGAUUUUUGAGGCUAAAUUGUUAGGGGCAUACAAGUUUAGGAUCCACAUACCUUCUUAGUGUCUUGAAUCUUUUAUUUACUUCUUUAGCAAUGCCUUUUGCCUUAAAAUCUACAUUGUGUGAUAUUAACACAGUUUCACUGAUUUGGUUAGUGUUUUUUUUUUCCAGUAUUGUGGAUCAAACUUAGGAC